rnacentral:rRNA from 1 species
GAUGAACGCUGGCGGCGUGCCUAAUACAUGCAAGUCGAGCGAACAGACGAGGAGCUUGCUCCUCUGACGUUAGCGGCGGACGGGUGAGUAACACGUGGAUAACCUACCUAUAAGACUGGGAUAACUUCGGGAAACCGGAGCUAAUACCGGAUAAUAUAUUGAACCGCAUGGUUCAAUAGUGAAAGACGGUUUUGCUGUCACUUAUAGAUGGAUCCGCGCCGCAUUAGCUAGUUGGUAAGGUAACGGCUUACCAAGGCAACGAUGCGUAGCCGACCUGAGAGGGUGAUCGGCCACACUGGAACUGAGACACGGUCCAGACUACUACGGGAGGCAGCAGUAGGGAAUCUGACGCAAUGGGCGAAAGCCUGACGGAGCAACGCCGCGUGAGUGAUGAAGGUCUUCGGAUCGUAAAACUCUGUUAUUAGGGAAGAACAAAUGUGUAAGUAAAUAUGCACGUCUUGACGGUAACUAAUCAGAAAGCCACGGCUAACUACGUG